ACACCCUCAACCUUCUUGGUUUAUCGACCGGGAAGGCUUGGACUUUGGAGGUUUUUGUUGCUGGCCUCGUUUGAAGCCAGCUCCUCCUAAACGAAUUAGUGGGGUCCGCCGUGCCGACCCUCGACGUGAUAAGUACGCUUCUACGUCUUGGGGUUUCGCACUGUCGCCUGCUUCCAACCGUCUUCGAAUGAAGACAAUCUUAUAGA
rnacentral:misc_RNA from 1 species